GUCUACAGCCAUGCCACCCUGAACAAGCACUAUCUCAUCUGAUCUUGGAAGCUAAGCAGAGUUAGGCCUCGUUAGUACUUGGAUGGGAGACCACCUAGGAAGACCAAGUGCUGUAAGCG
rnacentral:rRNA from 1 species